GCUUAUGGCCAUACCACCCUGAGAACGCCCGAUCUCGUCUGAUCUCGGAAGCUAAGCAGGGUCGGGCCUGGUUAGUACUUGGUUGGGAUUCCGCCUGGGAAUACCAGGUGCUGUAAGCU
rnacentral:rRNA from 1 species